AACCGGGAGAGGUAAGAGGUACUACAGGGGUAGGAGUGAAAUCUUGUAAUCCCUGUGGGACCACCUGUGGCGAAGGCGUCUUACCAGAACGGGUUCGACGGUGAGGGACGAAAGCUGGGGGCACGAACCGGAUUAGAUACCCGGGUAGUCCCAGCCGUAAACGAUGCUCGCUAGGUGUCAGGCAUGGCGCGACCGUGUCUGGUGCCGCAGGGAAGCCGUGAAGCGAGCCACCUGGGAAGUACGGCCGCAAGGCUGAAACUUAAAGGAAUUGGCGGGGGAGCACAACAACGGGUGGAGCCCUGCGGUUUAAUUGGACUCAACGCCGGACAACUCACCGGGGGCGACAGCAAUAUGUAGGCCAAGCUGAAGACUUUGCCUGAAUCGCUGAGAAGUGGUGCAUGG
rnacentral:rRNA from 1 species